AAAGUUUCACGACCGUUCCGGCGGUUCCUCUAUCGUUCCACAGAUGUACCCCAACUGGAGGUGCUCGCGACCCAGGACAGGCUGGAGGCAAGAUACCCGCGUGGCUUCAGAGGCUCCAGCUUUUUCUGUGAAACACACAAGAGAGAAACGGAAGCUCAAGAAUAAAUAAACAAAGCAGCAUUUUUGACAAGCGGGUAAAACAAGCACAGUCGUCGUUCUCCUUAAGGAAGGCUAAUACAGGCGGCUUAUGACAUCAGCCAAGCCUGCAAAUACCAGUUGGCCCCAGCCUGGGCUCUUGUCUGCUCUGGCCACCUGGUUGGCCUGGGCGAGUCUGUGGCCCGGGCUGAGGUGUGAGGAGUGGGGGGGCGGUCUAUCUAUAGAGGACACAUGAAAAAAAAAGUUAUUUAGGGGUGCCUGGCUGGUUCAGUGGGAAGAGCCUCCAGAACAUCAUCAUGGAGUUGUGAACUCCAACCACAUGUUGGAUGUAGAGGACUCAAAGUAAAAUCUAAAAAACAAACAAACAACCUAAUAGCUUUGCCUUUUCUUUCACUUAUGAAUAGAACAUACUAUUGAAAAUUCUCGUGUUACUUAGCGUGGGUUUUGAAUGCAAUUCAACUUUGUCGUCUAAAUGUUGCUAAAGGAGGAAGCACUCUUUCUUAACAGCUUCAUUUAAUGUUUGCACGUGGGAAACACCUGGAAUACCAUCACUGCUAUCAAGGUCAUAAACAUAUCCAUCACCUCCAAAA